GAUGAACGCUGGCGGCGUGCCUAAUACAUGCAAGUCGAGCGAACAGACGAGGAGCUUGCUCCUCUGACGUUAGCGGCGGACGGGUGAGUAACACGUGGAUAACCUACCUAUAAGACUGGGAUAACUUCGGGAAACCGGAGCUAAUACCGGAUAAUAUAUUGAACCGCAUGGUUCAAUAGUGAAAGACGGUUUUGCUGUCACUUAUAGAUGGAUCCGCGUCGCAUUAGCUAGUUGGUAAGGUAACGGCUUACCAAGGCAACGAUGCGUAGCCGACCUGAGAGGGUGAUCGGCCACUCUGGAACUGAGACACGGUCCAGACUCCUACGGGAGGCAGCAGUAGGGAAUCUUCCGCAAUGGGCGAAAGCCUGACGGAGCAACGCCGCGUGAGUGAUGAAGGUCUUCGGAUCGUAAAACUCUGUUAUUAGGGAAGAACAAAUGUGUAAGUAACUAUGCACGCCUUGACGGUACCUACUCAGAAAGCCACGGCUAACUACGU
rnacentral:rRNA from 1 species